rnacentral:rRNA from 1 species
CCCUUAGAUGUCCUGGGCCGCACGCGCGCUACACUGAUGCAUGCAACGAGUUUAUAACCUUGGCCUGAAAGGUCUGGGUAAUCUUUUGAACGUGCAUCGUGAUAGGGAUAGAUUAUUGCAAUUGUUAAUCUUGAACGAGGGAUUCCUAGUAAACGCGAGUCAUCAGCUCGCAUUGAUUACGUCCCUGCCCUUUGUACACACCGCCCGUCGCACCUACCGAUUGAAUGGUUCGGUGAAGAUCUCGGACUUCGAUAUUUAUUCUUUAUUGAGUUUAUAUUGUGGGAAGUUAUCUAAACCUCAUCAUUUAGAGGAAGGUGAAGUCGUAACA